rnacentral:rRNA from 1 species
AGGGGUGCUUGCACUCCGAUUCAGCGGCGGACGGGUGAGUAAUGCCUAGGAAUCUGCCCGAUAGUGGGGGACAACGUUUCGAAAGGAACGCUAAUACCGCAUACGUCCUACGGGAGAAAGUGGGGGAUCUUCGGACCUCACGCUAUCGGAUGAGCCUAGGUCGGAUUAGCUAGUUGGUGAGGUAAUGGCUCACCAAGGCGACGAUCCGUAACUGGUCUGAGAGGAUGAUCAGUCACACUGGAACUGAGACACGGUCCAGACUCCUACGGGAGGCAGCAGUGGGGAAUAUUGGACAAUGGGCGAAAGCCUGAUCCAGCCAUGCCGCGUGUGUGAAGAAGGUCUUCGGAUUGUAAAGCACUUUAAGUCGGGAGGAAGGGCUGUAGGCUAAUAUCCUGCAGUUUUGACGUUACCGACAGAAUAAGCACCGGCUAACUUCGUGCCAGCAGCCGCGGUAAUACGAAGGGUGCAAGCGUUAAUCGGAAUUACUGGGCGUAAAGCGCGCGUAGGUGGUUCAGCAAGUUGGAUGUGAAAGCCCCGGGCUCAACCUGGGAACUGCAUCCAAAA